rnacentral:rRNA from 1 species
GUCCACGCCGUAAACGAUGGGUACUAGGUGUAGGAGGUAUCGACCCCUUCUGUGCCGUCGUUAACACAAUAAGUACCCCGCCUGGGGAGUACGGUCGCAAGACUAAAACUCAAAGGAAUUGACGGGGCCCGCACAAGCAGCGGAGCAUGUGGUUUAAUUCGAAGCAACGCGAAGAACCUUACCUAGACUUGACAUCUCCUGCAUUACCCGUAACGGGGGAAGCUCUUCGGAGCAGGAAGACAGGUGGUGCAUGGUUGUCGU